rnacentral:lncRNA from 1 species
GGAGAACUGAAUUCUCAAUUUUAAAGGAUUAUAAACCCUUAACUGCAUACAUAGUAUCCAGAAAAAUGAAAAUGUACAGUUAUCUGAAAUAAAACCCUUAUUGUUGGAAAUCAUGCAGAUGCAAGUGGUCGAGAGGAGGGGAAAAACAAGUUCCAUAUAUGUCCAUGACAUGGCCAAUCAGUCUGCACAAAGUGCACUUGAGAUAUGUGUCAGGGGGCCUCUCCUCUCCCCCUGCCUCCUUCUAUGUCCUUCCAGUCCCCAGAAUGGAGAUGAAAAGAAGGAAGUCUCUGCUACUGCCCAGGUGGAAGGUGGGAGCAUUUCAGGACACUUAGCAUUAACAUCUGCCUGACAAACUCACCUUUCUCUUGAUGAUAUUUUCUCUGAAAUCUCUGUUAUGCCAUGAUGCUACCAUUUAAUACUAAAGACCAAGGAUCCAUGUGAUAAGAUUCAUUCCUAUCUGGAUAAGGAGAAUGCUGGUACAGCACAGUAACAUUUCUCGUGUGCUUUUUCAUCUAGUUGACUUUCCAGGCUCUGUACACAGUUUUCAUUCCACUUUUAGUCCUAAAAUUAUCUUGAUUUAGAGAAAGCAGGGUACGGUACCUUUUGUACCUCUUCUUCCUCCUCUUUUUUAUUUCACCUCUCAGUUUCUUUAUCUUUAGACAGCUAUUUAUGCAUUUUUAUCAAGGGUAGAGGUUAAAUGAACAACUUCCAUUGCAGUGUAAAGAGUGGUCAGAUUCCCUGGGUGCUUAUCCAAGUUCUAUUCCCUUCCUGCUAAGUACAGAAUGGCAAAUUCUCUCAUCUGUGAAAUGGGGAAAGUUAACAGCCAUCUACUUUGUAGGGUCUUUGCAAAGACUGGGUUAUUCUAUUUGACAUUCAUAGCAGAGUUAAACAAUGCAUGAAUGAAAGCUGCUCUUAUUAUGAUUGGUUU